rnacentral:lncRNA from 1 species
CUUUCAUGUAUGUUUUUGCAUGUAAUAGUCACAUCUUUUUACAGAUGAAGACCACAUUGUUCAGAGAAAAUGAGUGUGUCUGUAAAGGAAUGAUCAUUGUCUAGAGUUCAGGCUCCUGAUCCCAAAUCCAAGGUUUUUUCCCCUCAUCUGCAGACUUCUGGUACUUCCUGUGGAAUUUAAAUAUUCAUGAGUCAUGCUGUCAUGGGAUUACACAAUUUUUCAGAGAAGGAAAAAAAAAUAGCUUACAUUUAAAAGAUGAACUCUUAGGCUCUGAUAGGGGCUAAUUAAGCCCCCCUUGAACUCAUAUGUUGACAUCGCAACCCCAGUACCUCGGACCAUGACUUUGGUGGCUUAUAAAGAGGUGAUUAAUUACAAUGGGGUCUAUGGAGUAGGCUCCAGUCCAACAUGACUAGUGUCUUCUGAAGGGAUGAAGACACAGUUAUGCAGGGGAAGACCACAGGAAGAAGACAGCAUUCUUCACACCCAGGACAAAAGUCUCAGAAGAAACUUUGGAGGUUGGAGGAAUUGGUGGUUGGGUCAGGAGAUAGUGGCACUGAUCAAAGCCAUGACUGGACAGGCACCAGNGAGCUUACCCCUGUGGAAUACUGCUGCAGCAUUCCCACCACUGGAGGAUUUUGGUUUACAUGUUCUACCAAAGUAUUUAUUUUGUGUAACUCCUGAGUGCAAGUUUCUGGAAUUCCAUGAAUGUGUCCGACAAUGCAAAGAAUUUGGGUGAUAGGUUUUUUGGAAAAGCCCGAGAUCCAGGGCUCCCUAUAGAACAAGCUAAGUAACUGAUAAAUAGAUCCAAAGACCGUAGCUAGAGUUAAACUUUGGGUGGUUCAACAUAUUGACUAACUGUGUUGAAAGUAAUUUAAAAAAUGCCAAUCCUGGAGCUACGUCCCAGGAGAUUUAAAUUCAAUGAAUCUUUGUAGGGCAUCUGAAUCUGCAAUUUUAGAAUCUCCCCUGGUGUGAUUUUGCCAUUUUUGGUAAUGUAACAUAAUGGUACAUCUUAUAAUUGAUGGUGUCUUAGAUUUGAUGAGAUAAUACCUAGUAAUACCACACUCUUUCAUGUAUGUUUUUGCAUAUAAUAGUCACAUCUUUUUACAGAUGAAGACCACAUUGUUCAGAGAAAAUGAGUGUGUCUGUAAAGGAAUGAUCAUUGUCUAGAGUUCAGGCUCCUGAUCCCAAAUCCAAGGUUUUUUCCCCUCAUCUGCAGACUUCUGGUACUUCCUGUGGAAUUUAAAUAUUCAUGAGUCAUGCUGUCAUGGGAUUACACAAUUUUUCAGAGAAGGAAAAAAAAAUAGCUUACAUUUAAAAGAUGAACUCUUAGGCUCUGAUAGGGGCUAAUUAAGCCCCCCUUGAACUCAUAUGUUGACAUCGCAACCCCAGUACCUCGGACCAUGACUUUGGUGGCUUUAUAUCUAGGAGCAUUUACUAAUCUUUCAGUAUAUCAAGGAAAAAAUAUCUUAAAAAUUACUGGAGAACAAAAGUUAAAUUGUCUACAAAAGAAUGAAGAUCAGAUUAACAUCAGAUUUCUAAAUUGCCAUCCAGAAAUAAGGGGAAAAUAGAGGAUCGUUUAAUGUGCAAAAGACAUUUAAACUUAUAAUCAUACACAAGUCAAAAGAUACUAUGUACAGUUGAAGAUGGAACAAGGAUAUAUUCAGACUUUAAAAUUUACCAUUAAAGACCUUUUCAGAAAGAAUUACUGAAAAAUGUGCACCAAGAGGGACAAAAAUUGUUAGUGUUGACAAUACUGUGGAGAAAUGGUGUUAUGGUUUAGAAGACAUGAGGUAUCCCCCAAAAGUCCGUGUGUGAGACAUUGCAAGAAAGCUUAGAGGUAAAAUGAUUGGAUUAUGACAGCCUUAACCUAAUCAGCACAUCAAUCCCCUGAUAGAUAUCAAUUGGGUGGUAACUAUAAAAAGGCAGGUUGUGGCUGGAGGAGGCAAGUUGUUGGAGCAUGCCCGUGGAGGGGAACAGUCUCUUUCUGCUUCCUGGUGGCCAUGUCUGAGCCACUUUCCUCCACCACACUCUUCUGCUAUUAUAUUCUGCCUGAUUUCAGGUCCAGAGCAGUGGAAUUAGAAAUCUAUGAAAUGAAACCUCUGAAACCAUGAACCCCAAAUAAAUUUUUCUUCCUCUAAAAUUGUUCUUGGCAGGUCUUUUGAUCACAGUAGCAAAGAAGCUAACUAACACCAAUGGGUGUAUUCAUACAAUGCAUGUGAGUGUAUAAAGUGACAGUUUUCUAAAGGGUGAUAUGGUUCUAUUAGUGAAAUAAAAAUGUGCUUAUCUUAAAAAUCAGCAAUUUUACUUUAAAAACACCCUCACAAUAUAUAAACAUUUUUGUUGUAGUAUUAUUUGUCAAGGAGAAAACUGGGCCUCAACAAAGAGUGGCUAGUUAUAAAAUGUUGUAUUCAUACCAUGAAAUAUUAAACACUAAUUAGAAAGAACAAAAAUGAUCUAUAUGAAUCAAUAUGGAUUUGACUCCAACCCUUUUUGUUGGGUGAAAAGGGCAGGUUGAGUAAUGUACAUAUCUUAAGUCCACUACUAUUAUUGUGUUCCUGUCCAUUCACCCAUUUAGUUUUGUUAAUAUGUACUUUUUAUAUUUA